UCAAAGUUGAUUGCAUCCCUGUGGGGCCAAGCAACCUUCCAUCCUAUAGGGACAGCAAUAAGUAAUGCAUCUAUAUUAGUGGCAGGACUCAGCAUUUUCUUUGUGCUGUUCUUUCUUUGUGCAAGUCUUGGUGUUUGGAGUGCACGGAAAUUGUCGAAGCGAGAUUCAUUUGACGUUACUCCUGCUGCCCCAUCUGGUGAAGCUUAGGUGACCUUAAGAACAUCAAGACAUGAGAACCGAUGAGAAAAGAAGAAAUGAAAGUCCCAUUAGUUGGUAGCUAUUUAGAGGGCUAUUAUUUCCACAAGAGCAGAAUAUUAAAAAAAAAAAUAAAUUAUUGAAACUAAAGAAAUCUUACUUUCCAAAGUUGGCACACUUAAGUUAUGUCUAUACUAAUGAAUUAAACUUAGCACAGGAAUAUUGCAACUUCUGAGACUUAGCUGGAAUAAUCCUUGUUUAUGCUUAUGUUGUGUUCUACCUAUUGGGAACAGCUCCUCGAAGGCUCUAACUUCUAAGUAACAGUCAAGUUACAUGAAUAAACAGUAUUCCAGUAGAUGGGAGUUUCCUAGACAUUGUUUAAUUUAUUAGUCUAGAUGCAUAGCCUUAUUGUUUAAUGCUAUUUCUAAAUGAUAUGUUUGAUGUAUUACUCAUUUAGGGACAGGUAUUUUCAGUGAUUAAUCAAACCUCGCCACUGCAAACUUUAAUUUACUCACAGCACUGUGUUUGGCUGCUGCAUUGUAACUGUAAAAAGCUAGUCAUUUAAAUGUAAGUCUUGUUGUCAUAAGCUUAUUACAGUGCCUUAGGCUGGAGUGUAAAUCUACAGUUGAACUGUGUUACAUUUUCUCAGUUUGCAGAUGCUCCCAUGGGAAAGAAUAUUCUCUUGCCUUGACCUUGGGCAAAAGAUGAGCAUUCACACUGAGUGAUAGUGCAGCGUAAAAUCAUUCUGGCAUGUACUUCUGAGAAACUACAUAAGUUUAAGUGUGUGAAACCCAUGUUGUGACAGAACUACUACCCAAAUUCUGUAGCCCGAACAAAGGCAUGCUGUUGUUUUCAGCACAUCAUCUGUUUUAUAAGAGGGGGAGUAAGGAAAUUUCAAGAAAAACUAUUUUUAUAGAAUGUGAAAAAUAUGUUAAGACUUUGAUAACAUUUAUCCAUUAAAGUCAGCAACUCUCUCUCUGCGGUAUUCACUCCUCUAUAUAACUGAUGAACCUUUCUUAUACAAGUUCUAAUCCUUAAUAAUAAUCAUCAUCAUCUAGACUCAAAGCUGAAACCUAAAUUUUAUUGGAAGGAUACCAUCAUUAUUUUCCUAACUGAGUAGCACGUACUGUGUCAGAGACACACAGUGGCCGGUGACUGUGGUGGGGCUCUGCCUGAGCAAUGUGGGCAGUGUGGGGAAGAAGGGGCCAGCAGAUGUUUGCCCAAAGAGCUGCGUUGCUAUAGCACGUCAGGAGAAAGAGAUCUGAAGAGGUAAGUCUGAGGCAGUCUGAGGUUGCUUUAUGAGAACAUUCCUGUGUGAGCUUUAGCAAAGGAACUUCAUUUCUGAAUUUGGGAGCCUGUAGUUCAAGACAAAAUUGUUAGCGUGUUUGUACCUCAUAUUUUUCUGUGAAGAUGAAUACUUCUGAGAGCAUGCAACGUGUAGGUUCCACAGUAAUGAAGCUAUACUGAGAAGUGUACGUAUGAAGGAAAUCACAGAUUGUCUGCAAAUCAUACCAAGCCAGUUAUUUUUCUAGUAACAGUAGAGAAGAGUACUGUGCCAGCUUUCAGCUUGAAUUAUCAAUUGAUGUUCUAUGCAAAUAAAAACAUGCAAGUAUUUUUUUUGACAGUCUGCGUUUACUUCGUGAGUAAAUGCUUUACUUCAAUACGCUACUUCAUUUACUUUAUUUCAGAGAAGUAAAAUGUCUCUGUACAAACUAAUGGUUGAAAAUUAGCCACUUUUUCUAUUUUCC
ensembl:lncRNA